rnacentral:tRNA from 1 species
GUGGAUAUAGCUCUGUGGUAGAGUGCGUGCUUAGCAUGCAAGAGGUCCUGGGUUCAGUCCCCAGAACCACC